rnacentral:sRNA from 1 species
UCUAUGCCCAUAUGGCAAGCAUUGACAUCAGUCCAGCACCUAGGAAAAGUGCAAGGUAUGCCAUGAGCUGAAGCUUUGUAUUAAUCUGUAGCUUCGGGUUAUUGAAAUCUGUUGCUAGAAGGUCAACUAGGGACAUGUAGAUCAAAAUUCCUGCUGAGGCUGAGUUGAAGACUCCUUCAACGACGAAGGCAGUUGAGCUAUGCACAUUGUAGCUCGAUGAAAUUGCAAUUCCUAGCACGAUGCCCACAGGUGCAGUCAGGGAGAAAAAUAUUGCCAUAAUGACGGUUGCCCUUACCUUAAAAUUAGCCUGCAGUAAGAAGAAUGAAUCAAACAUAUUAGCUUUUUGUUGCUUUUCAAGAUUACAAUAGACUAAACUUAUUCUCAUUACUGUUGCCAGGAAGGCCUAUGAGCUUCAAGUGACUGCUGUUACCUGAGAUACUACCUUAUGUCGAAUUGAUUCAGCUACUGAACCCUCCUCUGGUGAGCCACAGACCACUAUAUCACCAUGUGAAUGUGUAUGUCCUCCAUGUGUGUGCGCAUUUAUGUGUUGUGCAUGUUCAGCCCUCUCGUCUCCAGCAUGCUUGUGUACGUUGAUGUUGUCAACUGGGCGUGCCUUCCUGAAUUGAGACCGGUGAUAGUAUCCAGCAGCCAAUGAGUCCACCACCAUUGUGGACACUGCAGCAGACAUUGAAACAAGGCCCGCAAAGGGGAAGGGAUUCCUAUCCCCACCACCCCUUUUGAGGCAUGGAGAUGUGAGCGCAUCAAACGCCGCUGGAAGAAUGUGCACCAUGCCAGUGGCAAGGAUGACGCCGGCUGCAAAUGCCUUGACAGCAAAGAAGAUGUCACCAUCAGGGCGCAGCGCAGCCAUGGAGCGGCCAAUCACUGGCACCAAGACACCAGCCGCCCCAGCUGCAAGGAUGGAUGCAAUGGCAAUGAGCUUUAGCUUCAUUGCACC